rnacentral:sRNA from 1 species
AUGUACCUCCGGACACUCCGGUUCCUCCGCGCCGUCCGCACCCCACCUGACGGCUGCUCGCUACGGUUUGUUAGCC